rnacentral:rRNA from 1 species
CGGGUGAGUAACGCGUGGAAAACCUGCCGUAUACUGGGGGAUAACACUUAGAAUAGGUGCUAAUACCGCAUAAGCGCACAGCUUCGCAUGAAGUGGUGUGAAAAACUCUGGUGGUAUACGAUGGUUCCGCGUCUGAUUAGCUUGUUGGCGGGGUAAUGGCUCACCAAGGCGACGAUCAGUAGCCGGCCUGGAGAGGGUGAACGGCCACCAUUGGGACUGAGACACGGCCCAAACUCCUACGGAAGGCAGCAG